GACGAACGCUGGCGGCGUGCUUAACACAUGCAAGUCGAACGGAAAGGCCCUGCUUGCAGGGUACUCGAGUGGCGAACGGGUGAGUAACACGCGGGUGAUCUGCCCUGCACUUCGGGUUAAGCAACGGAAACUGGGUCUAAUACCGGAUAGGAGCCAUUUUUAGUGUGAUGGUUGGAAAGUUUUUUCGGUGUAGGAUGAGCUCGCGGCCUAUCAGCUUGCUGGUGGGGUAAUGGCCUACCAAGGCGGCGACGGGUAGCCGGCCUGAGAGGGUGGACGGCGACAUAGGGACUGAGGUGAGGCACAGACUGCUAAGGGAGGGAGAAGGGGGGAAUCUUGCACGAUGGGCGCAAGCCGGAUGCAGAGGCGCUGCGGGGGGGAUGACGGCCUUCGGGUUGAAAACUCAUUGCGCUAGGGACGAUGCUUUUUGUGACGGUACCUAGAUAAGAAGCACCGGCUAACUACGUG
rnacentral:rRNA from 1 species